rnacentral:rRNA from 1 species
GACGAACGCUGGCGGCGUGCCUAAUACAUGCAAGUAGAACGCUGAAGGAGGAGCUUGCUUCUCUGGAUGAGUUGCGAACGGGUGAGUAACGCGUAGGUAACCUGCCUGGUAGCGGGGGAUAACUAUUGGAAACGAUAGCUAAUACCGCAUAAGAGUAGAUGUUGCAUGACAUUUGCUUAAAAGGUGCAAUUGCAUCACUACCAGAUGGACCUGCGUUGUAUUAGCUAGUUGGUGGGGUAACGGCUCACCAAGGCGACGAUACAUAGCCGACCUGAGAGGGUGAUCGGCCACACUGGGACUGAGACACGGCCCAGACUCCUACGGGAGGCAGCAGUAGGGAAUCUUCGGCAAUGGACGGAAGUCUGACCGAGCAACGCCGCGUGAGUGAAGAAGGUUUUCGGAUCGUAAAGCUCUGUUGUAAGAGAAGAACGAGUGUGAGAGUGGAAAGUUCACACUGUGACGGUAUCUUACCAGAAAGGGACGGCUAACUACGUGCCAGCAGCCGCGGUAAUACGUAGGUGGCAAGCGUUAUCCGGAUUUAUUGGGCGUAAAGAGGGUGCAGGCGGUUUUCUAAGUCUGAUGUGAAAGCCUUCGGCUUAACCGGAGAAGUGCAUCGGAAACUGGAUAACUUGAGUGCAGAAGAGGGUAGUGGAACUCCAUGUGUAGCGGUGGAAUGCGUAGAUAUAUGGAAGAACACCAGUGGCGAAGGCGGCUACCUGGUCUGCAACUGACGCUGAGACUCGAAAGCAUGGGUAGCGAACAGG